rnacentral:rRNA from 1 species
GUGGGGAAUCUUGCGCAAUGGGCGAAAGCCUGACGCAGCCAUGCCGCGUGAAUGAUGAAGGUCUUAGGAUUGUAAAAUUCUUUCACCGGGGACGAUAAUGACGGUACCCGGAGAAGAAGCUCCGGCUAACUUCGUGCCAGCAGCCGCGGUAAUACGAAGGGGGCUAGCGUUGCUCGGAAUUACUGGGCGUAAAGGGCGCGUAGGCGGACAGCUUAGUCAGAGGUGAAAGCCCAGGGCUCAACCUUGGAAUUGCCUUUGAUACUGGCUGUCUUGAGUGUGGGAGAGGUGAGGGGAACUCCGAGUGUAGAGGUGAAAUUCGUAGAUAUUCGGAAGAACACCAGUGGCGAAGGCGACUCACUGGCCCAAUACUGACGCUGAGGCGCGAAAGCGUGGGGAGCAAACAGGAUUAGAAACCCCGGUAGUCC